rnacentral:rRNA from 1 species
UACGUAGGGGGCAAGCGUUGUCCGGAAUUAUUGGGCGUAAAGAGCGUGUAGGCGGUCCGGUAAGUCAGCUGUGAAAGUCAAGGGCUCAACCCUUGAAAGCCGGUUGAUACUGUCGGGCUAGAGUCCGGAAGAGGCGAGUGGAAUUCCCGGUGUAGCGGUGAAAUGCGCAGAUAUCGGGAGGAACACCAAUGGCGAAGGCAGCUCGCUGGGACGGUACUGACGCUGAGGUGCGAAAGCGUGGGGAGCAAACAGG